CCCUGUGUUAUAUAGGAAUGUAGCGCCUUUGCUGGUUGGAGCCGCAUCCAGAAACCUGGAGAAAAUCUGUCCACUUGAUGUCCCAAAAGACCGGCAUCACUCCCACCAACUGGCCGGUAGCAAAGGACCAAAUGGAAAUUUCAUAAACUGGGAAGACAAUCCAGUUAUUCAGUAUUACGCAACAGGCCGCUGCAGCGCAGAGCACUGGAUUGGGAGUCAGGGGCUGGAGGCCAGCCCCAGGUCUACUCGUAUUCCCUGAGCAACCCUAGAAAAAUCGCCAGUGAUCCCUGGGCUAAGAACAGGACUGAGACAUUUGGAUGGAGAUCCUAAAUGCAAAGGAGACUCACGUUCUCCCACUCCAAGUAAUCAAAUAAAUACACUAUGAAACUGUAAUAUAAG
rnacentral:lncRNA from 1 species